UCAUGGCGGCGGCCUACACAUGCAGUCGAGCGGUAGAGAGAAGCUUGCUUCUCUUGAGAGCGGCGGACGGGUGAGUAAUGCCUAGGAAUCUGCCUGGUAGUGGGGGAUAACGUUCGGAAACGGACGCUAAUACCGCAUACGUCCUACGGGAGAAAGCAGGGGACCUUCGGGCCUUGCGCUAUCAGAUGAGCCUAGGUCGGAUUAGCUAGUUGGUGAGGUAAUGGCUCACCAAGGCUACGAUCCGUAACUGGUCUGAGAGGAUGAUCAGUCACACUGGAACUGAGACACGGUCCAGACUCCUACGGGAGGCAGCAGUGGGGAAUAUUGGACAAUGGGCGAAAGCCUGAUCCAGCCAUGCCGCGUGUGUGAAGAAGGUCUUCGGAUUGUAAAGCACUUUAAGUUGGGAGGAAGGGCAGUUACCUAAUACGUGAUUGUUUUGACGUUACCGACAGAAUAAGCACCGGCUAACUCUGUGCCAGCAGCCGCGGUAAUACAGAGGGUGCAAGCGUUAAUCGGAAUUACUGGGCGUAAAGCGCGCGUAGGUGGUUUGUUAAGUUGGAUGUGAAAUCCCCGGGCUCAACCUGGGAACUGCAUUCAAAACUGACUGACUAGAGUAUGGUAGAGGGUGGUGGAAUUUCCUGUGUAGCGGUGAAAUGCGUAGAUAUAGGAAGGAACACCAGUGGCGAAGGCGACCACCUGGACUAAUACUGACACUGAGGUGCGAAAGCGUGGGGAGCAAACAGGAUUAGAUACCCUGGUAGUCCACGCCGUAAACGAUGUCAACUAGCCGUUGGGAGCCUUGAGCUCUUAGUGGCGCAGCUAACGCAUUAAGUUGACCGCCUGGGGAGUACGGCCGCAAGGUUAAAACUCAAAUGAAUUGACGGGGGCCCGCACAA
rnacentral:rRNA from 1 species